rnacentral:rRNA from 1 species
ACUCAAAUGAAUAGACGGGGGCCCGCACAAGCGGUGGAUCAUGUGGUUUAAUUCGAAGCAACGCGAAGAACCUUACCUGGGUUUGACAUCCCUUUGAAUAUACCUAGAGAUAGGAAUAGGCUCGCAAGAGACAGAGGAGACAGGUGCUGCAUGGCUGUCGUCAGCUCGUGUUGUGAAAUGUUGGGUUAAGUCCCGCAACGAGCGCAACCCUUGUCUUUGGUUGCCAUCAUUAAGUUGGGCACUCCAGAGAGACUGCCGUCGUCAAGACGGAGGAAGGUGGGGAUGACGUCAAGUCCUCAUGGCCUUUAUAUCCAGGGCGACACACGUGAUACAAUGGUUGGUACAGAGGGAGGCGAAGUGGUGACACGAAGCAAAUCCCAAAAAACCAAUCUCAGUUCGGAUUGGAGUCUGCAACUCGACUCCAUGAAGUUGGAAUCGCUAGUAAUCGCGGAUCAGCACGCCGCGGUGAAUACGUUCCCGGGCCUUGCACACACCGCCCGU